GUUGGGCAUGGUGAUGUGUGCCUGUAGUCCCUACUACUUGGGAGGCUGAGGCAGGAGGAUUGCUCGAGCCCAAGAGGUGGAGGCUGUAGUGAACUGUGAUCAUGCCACUGCAGUCCACCUUGGGCAACAGAGCAAGAUCCUGUCUCAA
ensembl:misc_RNA Metazoa_SRP Metazoan signal recognition particle RNA